AAGAUCCUUGCUGAAUCCAGGUGUUGCAAUGCAGGAUGUGAUGUGUGAUGAAAUGCCAGGACUGAAGACAAACUAUUAUUCAGCAGCUCUGGGCAGAGCAGCCCUCGGGAUUUGGGAAGGCCUUUCAAUGGAUGUCAUCUUUGAGUGUAACAAGAAGAAGAAGCAGCCUUGGAAAAUAGAAGGCAACUGUUUUCUUCUGGUGGAGCUACAAGCAAGUCAGUGUAGGACAUCAUAGUCUCACUAAUGAAGAUGUUAUCUCUGGAAACUUUCUGCGUUACUCAGCAUUAAUUCCAUCCAACUGCCAAAUAAUGAUGUCCUUCACUACCAAGAUAAUUCUCUGAAUAACUGCAACAAUGUUGGGAAAUGCCACCUGAAAUUGGAUGACAAGAGAUAAUUUUUUUAUUUCAUGGGUUUACAAUAAGCUGUACCCACUUCAGUGGACAAAAAAAUGAAUGCAGAGACUUUUAUCAGCUGUUUGGCUGGCAUGUGUUUGCAUGUGCCUGAAUCCAUUUCCUGUUUGCUUUCCAAGAUCCUGAUACAGAGUGCAGCAACAUCCAGUAGCACGAGGAAUCUCCUCCCCAUCCAACCAGGGUAGGGCUCCUCAGUUAUACACCACUCCCAGUUCUAGUCUGAUUUCAGCAAGCAGUGUUUCAGCAAUUGCACAGGACAGACAUAAUUUCAAGGCAAAUCAGGCAUAUCCUAAACCAAAAUGGAUUGAUCCUACAAGAACCCACUCCCAGCACUUAACAAGUAAGUUAGUUUUCAUAAGGAUGAGAAAGUGCCUCCUGAGAAAACACAUUGCUGAGAAGAAUUAGAAGACCAAAGG